UCCGGGGUAGUUCAACGGUAGCAACGCCGCGCUCUGAACGCGGAGAUGUUGGUUCGAUUCCAGCCCCCGGAACCU
rnacentral:tRNA from 2 species